rnacentral:rRNA from 1 species
UACGUAGGAUGCAAGCGUUGUCCGGAAUUAUUGGGCGUAAAGAGCGCGCAGGCGGUAUGACAGGUCAGAUGUGAAAGAGGCCGGCUUAACCGGCAAGGGUCAUUUGAAACUGUCAAACUAGAGUGCAGCAGAGGAUAGUGGAAUUCCCGGUGUAGUGGUGAAAUGCGUAGAUAUCGGGAGGAACACCAGUGGCGAAGGCGACUAUCUGGGCUGCAACUGACGCUGAGGCGCGAAGGCUAGGGUAGCAAACAGG